GGGUGCGCGUGCGCAGUGCGUCACCAGCACGCUACGCUCCCGCCUCGCCGCUGUUGAUCUCCCGCUCCGGCUCCUGCUGCCUCCCGCGUGUUCCUGCUGCCUUCUACUGGCCUCACUCCUCUCCUGCUGCCCUCUACUGGCUGUCUCCUGCUCCCCUCUACUGGUGUGCCUCGUGCUCCUGCCCUCUACACCAGGUGUGUCCUGCACCUCACCACGCAGGAGUGUUGAGGAUGAGCGAGUCACCAAGACGUAGUGUCAACAAUGGCUCUUCACCAGUACGUGAACGCUCCAGAGAUCCUUCUUUUUCCCGGUCACGAUCGAGAUCGAGAUCAAGAUCAGGGGAACGCCGCGAGAGUUACAAACACUCAUCUCGUAGGUCUGGUUCACCGAGGUAUCGCGAGGACCGGUACCGCGAUGACAAGUAUUCCUCUUCUCGACGUCGCUACUCUCGUUCUCCAUCUUAUUCCAGAAAUCGACGGAACAACAGGUCACGUUCAAGGUCACCUAUGUCAAAUCGGAGGCGGCACCAUGGGAACCGAGAGGACCCCAGCCCUAGUAACUGCCUUGGCAUCUUUGGGCUGAGCCUCUACACCACAGAGAGACAGCUUCAGCAUCUCUUUGGCAAGUAUGGAGCGCUUAGCAAAGUCCAAGUCGUUCUUGAUGCAAAGACUGGCCGAUCCAGGGGAUUUGCAUUUAUCUAUUUUGAGCAUGUUGAAGAUGCUACAGAGGCAAAGGAACAAUGCACUGGGAUGGAAAUUGAUGGUCGACGUAUCCGAGUAGAUUAUUCUAUCACGGAGCGAGCGCACACACCAACCCCAGGGAUUUAUAUGGGCAGACCCACAUAUUCUGGUUAUGGAAGACGUGGAGGUGGUGGUGGUGGUGGAGGCGGCGGCGGUGGCGGUGGUGGUGGUGGUGGCGGCGGUGGCGGCAGAUACACUGGUGGGUAUGGUAGUCGAAGGCGCUCGCAAUCUCCCUAUCACAGAGGCCCUCAACCACGACGGUCAUAUCGAUCACGAUCACGAUCAUAUUCUCCACUGGUGGGCCGAUCUCAAGCUGUUCACCAUGGCAACAGCAACCAAGCACGAUCUCAUCCUAGUUCAUCCACCAAUCACAUUCAAGGCAGAGAGACAACACGAUCUGGUCUUGGCCUGAAGCGGUCCAUUGUCCGUUAAAAUCAUGCUUGAAGAAUGGAGUAUUGGUGAAUAUUGGAAGAUAAAGAAAUCUUAAUGAAUAAGAAGAGUAGAAGCACUGGCCGGGGGUCUUUGGGGAGCGUUGGAGAAGAACUUUUGGCGAAGAGAGAACAGGCUGGCAAUAUUCUUCACUCUUUUAAAGUCAACCAAGAAAUGGAUUGGUUACAAGCUAGAAUUGAAAGAUUCAUGAAGCAUGUGAAGAUCUCAAACGUUAAGAAUUUUCUGAAGCUCGAAGGGGCAGUUGGCGAAGCUUACCAAGAAUUCACUCUUGAUUUGAAGAAGGAGAUAAGGUGGGGAAAGGGUAGCGGACAAGAUAAAAAGGGAAGUAAACUUGAAGCACAAUCAAAAUCUGGGUCAAGACGAAGGAAGGCAAGAAUUUGCUUCAGAUGCACAGGGCUUAGUGUGUACUCGCAUCGUCCUUGACACCCGUCUUGCUCAUCCUCACGGGCGAGUGUCAAUACUGCCACUGAGAUAAUUUAUCUUCAUGUUCUGAAGAGGAAAUUAAUUCAGAAGAUUUUUUUUACUGUAUUGAAUGUAGUGCUUCACGUCGCAAGUGGUAUAAAAAGGUAGCUUGAUUUGCGGGAUUUGUUAGUCUAAAGCCACGAAUAACAAAUUAAGAUUAUUUUUGUAA
rnacentral:misc_RNA from 1 species